rnacentral:rRNA from 1 species
GCUUUAUCGCAGCCUGUAAUUGAGUUUGAACUUUUCUUGCGCAGUCUAGGUGGGAGGCAAAGAGACUUUCUUCCCGGAGAAAGAGGAGCCAACAGUGAGAGACCACUCUGGAAAAAUUCGAACUCUAAAAGUAUAUGACCGUCAACCGGUUACUUGACAGUUUCAGGUGUGUGGUUUCUAUGGGGCAUAGUUUUUUAAAAAGGUAACAAAAAAGCACAAAGGUUCCCUCAGGCUGGAUGGAAAUCAGUCAAAGAGUGUAAAGGCAUAAGGGAGCUUGACUGCAAGAAGGACAAUUCGAGCAGGGGUGAAAACCGGUCUUAGUGAUCCGACGAUGCUGAGUGGAAAGGUCGUCGCCAACGGAUAAAAGUUACUCUAGGGAAA